UGCUGGAUAAAAGUAAACUGGAACUCUAUGCACAUGCAUGUGUGUUAGCAAAGUGCGCUAGCUGUUUCCUCUUGUUUUUCUAGCUAUGGCAUGAUGAAUCAAAUAACGAAGCGGGCAGAAGUAAAAUGCAGCAACAGGCUGCAUCAAAGAAACCACGACAGUCAUUUCAGGAAACGACUCCAGCCCAGAAGGAAGUUUCCCAUUCAGGAAUAAAGUCGGUAUUAAGGAUUUUGAAGCUUAAAAUUCUACAGUUUUUGAAUUAUAUUUACUUUCUGUUUUAUUUAUUACCAAUUGUAUCUGGACAUUUUAAUUCAACUUCAAAAAGAUGAUGGAUUUGUAUGUUUAGGAGUGCUGUAUACCAAAUAAUAAAAAUGUAUAGCCUAUAA